UUUUAAUCCAUCAUGCUGGAUACCGGCGGGUACUGCAUUGACAAAACACAGUUUUAAAGGUGGAAAUACAAAAAUGACGGACAGUAAGUGUUGGUAGCAGGUGAGGGAAGACCAGGACGGUUGAAGCUUCCGGGCAGAGGUGGCCUUCGAGCUGAGCCUGGAAAGAGCGUCAGCCUCAGGAGACUGGAGACGGGGAGGGAGAUGGCGGGCUGGGCGCUGGGCAGGCCCACGUGUCGGGCAGGUUCUGGAGCCGGGUGGCGCUGGGCCCAGCGGGGCAGGAGGUCGAAGCCGACGAUAAGGUCCGAUAGGCAGGGCGGGGCCCGAUGGUGGAGGCGCUCGAAUUCCAGGCUCGGCUUUUGGACUUUACCCCGCAGACAACGGGGAGCCACCGGCGUUUCCGAGCAGGGCAGGGCGGCCCCAGCGGUCGCCCCCAGCGGUCGCCCCAUUGUUUUUUCCCAGACGGGGCCGACCCCUGCAGUUCUUCAGCGAGACCACUAGAUGGAGGAUCAACUGUUUGAAGAUGGCGGUUGCCAGGACUCCUGAGGCGAAGAAGGGAUCAGAGGAAGCGGGCAGCUCCCCACCUGCGAAACACAGGCCUGGGCUCUGUUGUCGUGGGAAGGUGGCUUGUGGGGUCCAGCUCACCAGCAUUUCCAGACUGUGUCCGGAGCUCUGAAUCCCUUGUUCCAAGCUUUCUGCCCAAGAAGAUGGAGCUGGAGACAGGAACUGAGGUCUAGAGAGAAUCAGGAAUUUGCCCAGGGCACCAGAGGGCCAGAAGCAGACUCCAGACCUCCGGAUUCUCUCCACACGGUGCUGCCCCCGAGCGAGGCUACAAGAGCCGCCUUCUCAUUCAUCCAGCCCCUACCACGUGAGGCCUCAUGCCAGAGGUUAGGACUGCCAGAUAAACCCAAUGCCGUAUCUGAUGUCAAGGUUCUCAUGGUCUAGCAGGCCCGGGUGCUCUCAUAAAUGUGGCACCCUCCCAGACCACAGCUACGCAGGGCCCCUCUCUGGUGCCUCUCCUUCUGCUUCUUUGGGCUACUCCACUUGCACCCUCCUCUCCACUCUCCAAGUCCUCUCUAGCAACGGCUCUCCACCUUGUACAGGUCAGAGACCCCCUAGGAGAGUCUAAGGAAAGGCUUGAAAAAUGCACAAGGACAUAAACGUUCCAAAAGUGGAAAGCGCUGUGGAGUUUCACAGACCCCCGCCUUGCCCCCCGCCCCCAAAGCUGCUUUCACUUGGAACGCAACGGAAGAGGGCAAUUCCAAGACAACGAGAGAGGCAGCCACCCCAGAAGGUGUCAGCCACACUUUGUAAAUGCCCAAGGAAAGGGCAGGCAGUCCAAGGACGCACAGGAAACAGGAAUGACGGUUGCCUCGAGAGUUCAAGCACGCAACCAAGGAGGAUCCUAGGCCAGAGGGAGCCCUAGGCUGUAAUACAGAUGAAAUGAAGGAGAACUUCCCAUAUAACCCACAGGGCGAUAAGUCCACCUGGAAUGUUUGUUGAAGAGCUGGGUAGGGAAAGUUGGCCCAACUGUAGAAAGCCCUAUCAGCAGCCAUCAGCAAAGGCCAAAACAGAUAAAAAGAAAAAGUAUGCAAUCUCAAAGACUGGAGAAUUCGAGAGCUCACACUUAUUUGCCCUUGUGUGACAUGACCUCCCUAAGUCAUAGGUUGCUCACCUGUGAAAUGGAGGAAGCAGCGCUAACCUUGCAAGGACAUUGAGCAGUCUGAUGAUAACGUGCCCAGAGCUAGCAUGGCAGCUGGCAGGGACUGUGCACUCAACAACGCCAGCUACUCUUACCAGUACUACCUGGCAGUGACGCAAACUGACUUUUUGGACUUAUUACGUGAAGAUGAAAAUGAAGUGUACAUAGAAAAAUGAUCUGUAGCUAUCUCUAAGAGUGGGCCCAACCCAAUAUCUCUUAAAUAGAUAAAGCUUUCAAAAUUGAGAUUUUGGUUUUGAGUCUGCUCAAAUGGGAGGUAGAGUGGAAGAUGCGGGGGGGGGGGGGGGAGGCGGGGUCAAAGAAGAAUGGGACGGGCCGGGAUCUCAGGAGCUAAAUGCCUGGCUGCUGGGGUUUUCUUCAAUAAGAAAGUUCAGGAACUACUUCCAACAGGCACCUGAACCUAUGACUUAUCCAUUAUUAAUGACCCCGAAAGACACCCAACCAACCACGAAAUAAAACCACUCAUCUAAAUAUUCUAAAUAUUGAGCCAAAAAGACUUUCUUCUUCCUUCCUUCCCUCCCAUCCUCUCAAUGUAAAGUCCCCUUUCUGCCUGGUGAUUUUCCAAAUCUAACUCUUCAGGACAGAAAUGCCUGUGGUGUUUCUCUCCCCUUCUUCUCGCCGUCGUGGGGUGAACACCCUGCUCCUCUGUGCUCCUGAUCUGCAGCCAGGGGGACUGGCCUGAGAGUCACGGGGCUGAAUAGCCCACUUCUGGCUGUCUGACCCUCGGGCAAGUCCUGUGAGCAGGUGACACUUCAGGCCCUUCCGGCUCUGCCAUUGUGACCCCAGCGAGGCCACCUGCGGGUCUGGAGCCUGACCGACUGGAGUUCCAGUCCCCAUCCCACCACUUACAGCUGGGUGGCCUUAAGCAAGGGACACAACCACCAGUGGGUACACAGGGGUGUAAUACUGGGACGUCCCCUUUAGGGUUGUGGUGGAGAUUAAAUGAGACGCCACAUACAUACCAGGUUUACACAUGUGCUGGCACAUAGUAAGCGCUCCAUAAACGUUCCCCACUAUUGCUUUUAUGCAAAAGAGGGUGCAAUGGCACAUCAGAUGAGUCUCACACUGACUGUGGGGCCCCACCCCAGUGUCCGCUCUCCGCCAGUGCAGAAAUGCUGCAGCUCUAUCGGCCAGUGCUGUGGCACCUCGUGAUCUAACACUUGUGAAAGAGCGAGGUGCAGUGGCUUCUAGAGAAGCUCAUUCCAGGUCAGGGCCAGGUCCCUGCCUGGGCUUCCUGGAGUCCCCCAUCUUGCUGCAGGGGUGGACAUGUCAAGCCAAGCAGGUUGUGUAAAUGAGUAAAUCCCAUGUGCCUAACAGCGGGCUGGAGAGCACAUGCCCAGCCUACAGGCACAGAGAUCAAAUAAUGUUUUCAAACGCUGCCAGCCAAACAAGAUUCCACAGCCCGAUUCAAUCUGCAGGCCUAAUUAUGGGACUCCUCGCGCUGCGUGACUGCUUGCGUCAAGCUUGAGUCAUGUCCUCAUCGCCACUAUGUACGUGUGCGUGUACCUGCUUUAUUGAGCUAUAACUCACAUACCAUCCAAUUCACUCUUUUAAAGUAUACAACUGAGCAUUUUUAAAAAUAUAUUCACAGACUUGUGCAAGCAUCACCACAAUCAAUUUGAGAACAUUUUCAGCACCCCAAAAAAAACGCCCCUACCCAUUAGUGGUUAUUCCUCAUUCUUUCCUCCUUCCAGCCCCGGGCAGCCAUGAAUCUACUUUGUGUCUCUAUAGAUUUGCCUAUUCUGGACAUUUCAUCUAAAUGGAGUCCUACAAUAUGUGGUCUUUCAUCGCUCCCUUCUUUCACUUGGCAGAAUGUUUUCAAGGUUCAUACACGUUAUAACAUCUAUCAGUACUUCAUUCCUUUUUUAUGGCCAAAUAUAAUUCCAUUGCAUAGACAGACCACAUUUUGUUGAUCCAUUCAGCUAUUGAUGGACAUUUCAGUUGCUUCCACUUUUUGGCUUACAUGAAUAAUGCUGCUCUGAGCAUUCGUGUACAAGUCUUUGAGUAGAUAUCUGUUUUCAUUUCACUUUUGAAAGGACCUAGGAGUGGAUGGCUGGGUCAUAUGGUAAAGUGCACAUUUAACUUUCUAAUACACUGCCAAAGUGUGUUCCCACGUGCUGUACUGUAUCAUUUUGCAUUCCCAUCAGAAGCGUAUGAGUGUUUUAGUCAUUCCACAUCCUCACCAACACUUGCUAUGGUCAGUCUUUUUAGUGUUAGUCAUUCUGAUGAAGGAAUAGACGUGUCUGGUAGUUUUCAUUUGCAUUUCCAUGUCCUUACUCUGAACCACCACGGGCAGCUGCCUGGCCCUGCAUCGGACACACGAUGAAGAAGAGACAGCUCCAGCCGUUGAGGGAGCUGGCCUCGGAGGCCUCGGUUACUGCAUUAGCCUCCUAUGCAAAGGUUGUCUCCGCUGAUCCAUCAGGGUAAACAAAGAGUAGGUUGGUAGUGCAAAAUCUGGAAAUCCGGUGAAGAAACGAGCGAGCGUUUGGGUGGGUGGUGGAGGGAGCGGGGCAGGGGCAAAGCUGAGAGCUGACUUCGCAGUUCGCAGGUUGGCUGCCUUUGUUUUCUCAGCACGUUGGAAUCUCCUGGCUACCAGCCUUUUAUUUCCUUUAAUUAGCCUUCCCCACUGACGGCGACAGGUCAAGAUUUCUAGGAAGUGCUCCAGACUCUGCCUGACAGACAUACGUCCCAGGAGUUCAUUCCUCGGGGCUGAAAUGCAUCCUAUUUCUCACCCUUGGAGCUGACUUAGGGGCUGGCAGGACAGCUGUGCUUCUGGUGCUUUGACUCUUCAUCCCCUGCUUUACCUCCAAGAAGAAAGAAGUGUAUUAUUUACAAAAUAUCUCUAUCGCGUAGAAAAUAUCUCCCUGGGAAGAAUUAAACAGUUACACAUUAAAACCUUUUAAAAAUGCAGGCAUGCGUGAGCUGCCAUUAGUGCACCGGCCUCCGCAGACCUAUUUGGAGUCUAUUUGGUAGAAAAACAAACUACUAAAGCUUCAAGGCAAAGUUGGCUCCCUUAAAGGACACUUGGCUGUAAAUCUGGGCACCGUGAGCAAUUCCUUAAAUACCAACAACUCGCACGGUCACCAUUUUGGGGAAGGAAAUUUCCUAAAUGUGGUGAGGAAAUUUUAAGAGUUCGGAGCAAAGUACUGAGAAAUCAGUUCCUAACCUAUUAAGCUUGUGGUCCCGAGUAGGAGACAGGUCUAUGAAGAAGUAAAUGAUAAGAUGCUGUGAUAGCUGUUAUGACAGAGAGAUGGACAGAGCAUUGCGGAAGCACGGGAGAGAAAGCAACUGUUUGGAGGAUGGUUUGGGCUAUCUUGACAGAAAAGGAGACACUAACGUCGGGCUUUGAAGGAUGAGCAGAAGUUUGUUAGAAUAUAACAGAAGGAAAAAACGAACAAUCAGAAGAGCAUGCAUAAGGCAGUAAGAUGUGAAACCAUGGCAGGUUCAGGAAACUGUGGGUCCUUGAGUGAGUCUGAAGCGUCGAGUGGGUGAGAGAAAUGGUGAGAGGGAAGCUGGUGAGCUCGGCACAGGCCAGAUCCUAAAGAACCUUGAGGACCAAGAGAAGGAGUUUGGACCUAAGCUACUGAAGUGUUUCAAGCAGGACUGUGACCUGGUCAGAGUAUGUUGUUGAGAGAGCACCCUGGUUACCACGAGGGGAAGGAAUGCACAGAGCAGGGCUGGGAGCAAUUGCACGAGGUGCCGCGCAUGGCCCGUGGAUGUGUGAUGUGCCAACACCAUGCCAGCUACCUGAGACUGGAAGUGAGCUGGCAGCACCCCCAGGUGAAACUAGGGCCUGCUGGGGCCCGAGGGAGGGGUGCCCACUGCACCACCAAUGGACCCUUCCCAGAUCAAAACCCACAACCAGAAGGGGGACGUUGACUCUGUUCCUUCUUGGGGCAGAUCCCGGGACACCAUGUAUCACUGUGAUUCCAGGAUGGGAGAAUGGCCAGGGCUCAGCCGAGACUGCAACAACCCAAAAACUCCAGGCACUUUGCCCUUGGUAUCUGAACCCCCAACAGCCCCAUGUGUCCUAAGCCCGGAUGACAACCCAGCCCCCCUCACAGCCACAUCAUACCCGGGGAGGCAGGCAGGCCAGGGCUGGUUGGACCCCUUGCUUUGCCAGAGAAGGAAAUCGAAGUGGAGAGAGGGGCUGGGGCUUGCCCAAGCUCCCAGGAUUUAGAAAAGGUAGAGUCAGGACUUGGAUGAAGUCUUCAGAUCCCCAAGUCCAGGCUGCUUCUCACAAGGGGUCAGGAAAAUGAACACCAUGCUACAUGCUGUACAUACCUUUUCUUACUUUAAUUCUCACGACUACUCCCAUUUUGCAGAUGGGGAAACUGAGGUUCCAAACAGGUAGAUUACACGUGGUAAAAGGCCUGUCCAUUUGAUGCCCCACAGAUGCACCGAGCUGCCUUCCCAAAUCUGAAAACAGACUUGGACGGAAAUCUCCUUCUAUGCUGGCAGCAGUCAAGCAUCUUUGCUAAGUGAGGGCUGAUGGAGACACAGGCCUCUAGAGACGGUAAUACUUUCCGCACUGACACGGCAAAGGACUUGCAAAACACCACGGUAUUGAGAGGGGUUUUUGCAACUGAGCUCUUGUGACAAGGCAGAGGCCAUAAUGCUCAGGGACUGUGCUUCUUUUUAAGAAAAUCAUUUUUUCUCUUUUUGACAAAUAAUUCAGAUCCCAGGCCAGUGUCAGAGCAGCCAGAGGAAGUUGCCCUUCCCCCCGGCAGCACCCACUUCCUCAGGCCCGGCAGAGCGGCCUGGCUGCUAUCUCCCGGCCGCUGCGCUGAGCCAGUCCCAGGUACUCGGAGUUUGUUUUACGGAUGGGUCUGUCGUGAGUCAAUAUGAUAAUGUUUCCUGUGAGAACUUUAUUUCCCUGCAUUGUUUGCAAAGUCUGUGUGUGUGUCUGAGCACGUACUCCUAAUCGCGGGGGUGUUUGCUGUGCCCCGGUUACAGGACACCCCUGGGGGUGGGAGGUAGGGGCCCAGGGAGACCAGACUGGGGUUGUCCCCGUCCCCUCUGGUGGCAGGGAGAGGUGGGUGACUCACACGCUCAGGUCUCGCCUCCAGGCUGUGGUGGGCUGGCUCUCCUCUUGCUGGAAGCCACUUAAAUCAGUCAUCUCCAGUUGGGACAGACUUACUGUGGGCCCAAGCCACACUGGCUGCACCACCCCCAAGGGCUGCACCCGCCCAUGGCCCUCUGGGGCCGUCUGGGACACUUCUGAAUAGUCUCUUUAGGGCAGGAGCUGACCCUGUCUUUUAGCUUCUUGAUUUGCAGAUGGGGAAACCCAGAGAGGUUCCAUGACUCGUCUGAGCUAAAACAACCAGUGGGGAAGCACCUGGUGCAGCAGGAAAGCAGGGUCUUUGGAGCUAGCUGGUCCUGGGUUCAAAUUCCGACUCUGCCACUUGUCACCGGCCAGUUACUUCAUCAGUCUCAGUGGCUUCAAAUGCCAAAUGGGGUUAAUCAUACUCACCUUGCAGACAAGCUGUGAGCAAUGAUUCAGAAGACAGAGACAUAGCAUGUGCCACAGGAGAGUAGGGAGCAUUCUUUCUUCCCAUUUCCCCUGAGAUACAAGUCGGACGUGGGACUUGCAGGCAAGUGUUACACAGGAAAUGCCUCGGGCGAAGGCCAGGUGGGACCCCAGAGCCAACAACUGCACCUUGCUCACACGGGUCCUCCUCACACCAUUUAAUCAAAGCCAUUGGACUCCUGAGGUUUCCAGAACAAAGAGGAAAUGGCCCUGGUGCUAAGAGAUGGCUAUCAAUAUUAGUCAGUAGCUUAGCAAGAGUUUUAAAAGAAGAAGAAACUGUAAGUCGCUCAGUUCUCCUUAGCUUCUUAGCCCACUGCCCACUUCCUUCUCUGACCACCACCCCCCAUGGCACUCAGGGGUGCCCUCACAUUUGUGGUUGUGAACUUACCAGCUUUGGUGACAUCUCUUAAUUCUUUCAACUCUCAUUUCCAUCUUUUGCAGUUAUGGAACUUUCUGGUGGACACUUGUUCUGAUCUGCCCAGCAUCCCCUUCUUCUAGAAUCAGAACCCAGUUUUGGUUUGGAGCUUCUCCCCGCUUCACUAAAUGCAGUCUUUAUAGACUGUCAAUACAAGCGCCCAACUAUUUUUGGCCAAGGGAGGGCAUCCGACCCCAGCCAAGCCAAUUAGAUGCUCUUCUUGGGAGCUGAAUCUCGAGGGGAAUAACACAAGGACUGAAAAUGGUUAGAGCUGCUUCAUCCCAGAGAGGUUUCCUAAACACAUGAGCCAGGUCUGCUGUCUAGACCCCAGGGACUGCUUUCGAUCCAUUCUUUCCAUGGCAUGAUCUACAAGCCCUCUUGCUGAUAACGUCCCAGUAAAUUUCAUUUGCCUGAAAGUGACAGUUCUUGUCUGUUGCUUGCAACCAAAGCAUCCUAAGUAACACACAGUGUGCAUGUACACACUGAUAUCUUGCCUCCUUCACUUGUCUCAUGAGCAGGAACUGAGCCAUAUAUUCCUUCACUCAUUAAUUUAUUCAACAAACCAUUACCAAGUACUUACUCU
ensembl:lncRNA